rnacentral:rRNA from 1 species
CCUACGGGCGGCAGCAGUGAGGAAUAUUGGUCAAUGGGCGCGAGCCUGAACCAGCCAAGUAGCGUGAAGGAUGACUGCCCUACGGGUUGUAAACUUCUUUUAUAAAGGGAUAAAACGAGGCACGUGUGCCUUUUUGCAUGUACUUUAUGAAUAAGGAUCGGCUAACUCCGCGCCAGCAGCCGCGGUAAUACGGAGGGUCCGAGCGUUAUCCGGAUGUAUUGGGUUUAAAGGGAGCGUAGGUGGGUUGUUAAGUCAGUUGUGAAAGUUUGCGGCUCAACCGGAGAAUUGCAAUUGAUACUGGCAGUCUUGAGUACAGUUGAGGUAGGCGGAAUUCGUGGUGUAGCGGUGAAAUGCUUAGAUAUCAGGAAGAACCCCGAUUGCGAAGGCAGCUUACUAAGCUGUGACUGACAUUGAUGCUCGAAAGUGUGGGGAUCAAACAGGAUUAGAUACCCUGGUAGUC